AAAGCGCAAAAGCCGUUCACAGGUCCCAGAGCCGACCUUUCAACUACAGAAGCUAUGCUCCAAACAAACCACGCAGAACGAAAACCAAAAUCCAGCCCUGCAGGGUGACCAUCCCUGUCAACCAGACUUGGCGCUCCCAGGCCACACGUCUCCCGUCAGGAAGCAGACAAAAGAUCUGGGUUGGACGGCAGGCAAGUACCUGCUGUGUGCCAGGCACGAGUGCCCCCGCCUCAGCCCAGGGGCCUGUCAUGCGCAUUGAACAGCGAAAAAACUGAGUUUCACCCCA